rnacentral:rRNA from 1 species
AACGUAGGUGGCGAGCGUUAUCCGGAUUUACUGGGCGUAAAGCGUGUGCAGGCGGUCGUUCAAGUGGUGUAUGAAAUCGCCCGGCUUAACCGGGCGGGGUUAGGCCAGACUGGACGACUGGAGUACGGGAGAGGGACGUGGAAUUCCGGGUGUAGUGGUGAAAUGCGUAGAGAUCCGGAGGAACCCCAGCGGCGAAGGCGGCGUCCUGGCCCGUAACUGACGCUCAGACACGACAGCAUGGGGAGCGAACGGG